UACGUAGGGUGCAAGCGUUGUCCGGAAUUAUUGGGCGUAAAGAGCUCGUAGGCGGUCUGUCGCGUCUGCUGUGAAAACUCAGGGCUUAACCCUGAGCUUGCAGUGGGUACGGGCAGACUAGAGUGCGGUAGGGGAGACUGGAAUUCCUUGUGUAGCGGUGAAAUGCGCAGAUAUCAGGAGGAACACCGGUGGCGAAGGCGGGUCUCUGGGCCGUAACUGACGCUGAGGAGCGAAAGCAUGGGGAGCGAACAGG
rnacentral:rRNA from 1 species